rnacentral:tRNA from 1 species
GGUUCUGUAGUGUAGUGGUAAUCACUCUGGUUUUUGAAACGAAUUUACCUCUUUAAGGCGGAUUUGAUUUGAAAAAUACCAGAAACCCCGGUUCGAACCCGGGCAGGACCU